CCUACGGGAGGCACCAGUGGGGAAUAUUGCACAAUGGGCGCAAGCCUGAUGCAGCCAUGCCGCGUGUAUGAAGAAGGCCUUCGGGUUGUAAAGUACUUUCAGCGAGGAGGAAGGCAUUAAGGUUAAUAACCUUGGUGAUUGACGUUACUCGCAGAAGAAGCACCGGCUAACUCCGUGCCAGCAGCCGCGGUAAUACGGAGGGUGCAAGCGUUAAUCGGAAUUACUGGGCGUAAAGCGCACGCAGGCGGUCUGUCAAGUCGGAUGUGAAAUCCCCGGGCUCAACCUGGGAACUGCAUUCGAAACUGGCAGGCUAGAGUCUUGUAGAGGGGGGUAGAAUCCCAGGUGUAGCGGUGAAAUGCAUAGAGAUCUGGAGGAAUACCGGUGGCGAAGGCGGCCUCCUGGGCAAAGACUGACGCUCAGGUGCGAAAGCGUGGGGAGCAAACAGGAUUAGAUACCCUUGUAGUC
rnacentral:rRNA from 1 species